rnacentral:rRNA from 1 species
UACGUAGGGCGCAAGCGUUGUCCGGAUUUAUUGGGCGUAAAGAGCUCGUAGGCGGUCUGUCGCGUCGGCUGUGAAAACCCGAGGCUCAACCUCGGGCCUGCAGUCGAUACGGGCAGACUAGAGUGUGGCAGGGGAGACUGGAAUUCCUGGUGUAGCGGUGAAAUGCGCAGAUAUCAGGAGGAACACCGGUGGCGAAGGCGGGUCUCUGGGCCGAUACUGACGCUGAGGAGCGAAAGCGUGGGGAGCAAACAGG